UUUAAAUGGCCGCAGUACCUUGACUGUGCUAAGGUAGCAUAAUCAAUUGGCUUCUAAUUAAAGUCUGGAAUGAAAGGAAGUAUGGGGUAAUUCUGUCUUAAAGGAUUUUUUUUGAAUUUAUUUAAAUGAUGAAAAUAUCAUUUUGUAGAAAAAAGACGAGAAGACCCUUAGAGUUUUUAUAUUUUUUAUAUUUUUGUUGGGGCGACAGGUAAACAAAUAAACUUUACGAAAUAUUAAAUCGAUUUUUUAAUAAGAAUAAUAAAACUACCUUAGGGAUAACAGCAUUAUAUUUUUUUAUGAUUGUGACCUC
rnacentral:rRNA from 1 species